rnacentral:lncRNA from 1 species
GUAAUUUUUACUUAGUAUUGAUUAAGUGCUUUGAUAAGCACUGUACUAGAGUUAAACUUAUCAUUCAGAACUAUACUAUGGGUUCCAAAAUCAGGUACUAAUGGGACUUACUGAGAUACAGAAGAUGCAUCCUUAGCUGCUCUGCACUUUUAUUCAUGAGGUGAAGCAGAGCAGCCAGGGAGGUUCUUAUGAAAGAGACAUUUUAGAUUUCCCAGGUUAGAAGAAAAUCCUGCAGCAGCCAUGAUUAUAUAUACGUCCUUUCCCUCUAUGCAAAUCAUGGGAUUUGUGUCCUGCAGAUAGUGACAUCACUGUGCACCACCAGUUGGGAUUCCUGUGAGCUGGCUCUGCUCCUAGAAGUGGUAAUACCACCACUCUAAGGCAACAAUAAAGCCUGCUUAAAGCGACCUCUGCUUUAACCACUAGAUCUUCAUCGAGGCAGAGAGGGUCUGACGGUGUUUCAGAAGUGAGAAGCUUUCCAUGCUGGCACUGUGAGCAGCCUUUGACCGAGGGGUGAGAGCCUCACCAUCCUGCACACGGAGUCCCAAGCAGCCUUAGAUUCCCUCCCAGCUGACAUCAAUGGCGGAACUUCUACGGGCUCAGCAAGGACAACUGCAAUUGUAAACAACAAAAACAGAAAUGAGUUUUUUGCUCCGCGGUAUGAAGCCAUUUUUAUAGAUUUCCAGAAUCAGCAG